GAGAGAGAGAGAGAGAGAGCAAAAGGGUAAGGCAAGAAAAUUUUUAGCAUUUUCAGAGAGGAAUUCCAAGUAUCCAUUUUAUUCUCAUGGGAUCAUUUAAUUAAGAGUGUUUAUUAAUCCACUCUUGUGAAAGUGAGUUGUGAUUGACUUUGGAUUGUGAAACCAUUAGAUGAUAGUAGCAAUUAAAUUUUUCAGAAUUUGAUUUUAAAUAUGACUUAGAAGCAUU
rnacentral:misc_RNA from 1 species